AGCUAAUACUUGCUUUAGCACUCUUGAUUAAGUUCUUGAGUGUGUACUUGUUAAGCCUUUUAAGAAAAAAGUUAUUAACUUAAGGAAUUAUAACAAAGAAGCAACACGUAAAUGGAUUUUCCAUUUUUUAGUGUGUAUCAAUCGAGUUUCUGACCUAUCAGCUUUUGAUGUUAGGGUAUUGGCCUAACAUGGCUAUGACGGGUAACGGGGAAUUAGAGUUCGAUUCCGGAGAGGGAGCCUGAGAAAUAGCUACCACAUCUAAGGAAGGCAGCAGGCGCGUAAAUUACCCAAUUCUAAAGAAGAGAGGUAGUGACAAGAAAUAACAAUACAAGGCCAAUCUGGCUUUGUAAUUGGAAUGAUGGGAAUUUAAAACCUUCCCAAAACUCAAUUGGAGGGCAAGUCUGGUGCCAGCAGCCGCGGUAAUUCCAGCUCCAAUAGCGUAUAUUAAAAUUGUUGCAGUUAAAACGCUCGUAGUUGAAUUUCAAAGAAUCGAUAUUUUAAGUAGCACUUUGUAGAUUAAUCCACAUAACUGAUACUACGUAUCGACUUUGUGCACAUUUUUCUACUUAUGUGUUCUUUUAAUUAAAAUGAUUCUUUUUAAGAUCUUUCUUUUUUGCUUCGGCAUUUUAGGAGAUCUUGUUACUUUGAGUAAAUUAGAGUGUUCAAAGCAAACAGAUUAUAGCAUCUUUAUGCGUUUGAAUACUACAGCAUGGAAUAACAAAAUUGAACAAGUCAGAAUUUUGUUCUUUUUUCUUAUUUUGGCUUAGUUACGAUUAAUAGGAGUAGCUUGGGGGCAUUUGUAUUCAGAUGUCAGAGGUGAAAUUCUUAGAUUUUCUGGAGACAAACAACUGCGAAAGCAUUUGCCUAAAAUACUUCCAUUAAUCAAGAACGAAAGUUAAGGGAGUGAAGACGAUCAGAUACCGUCGUAAUCUUAACCAUAAACUAUGCCGACUAGGCUUUGGAUGAAAGAUUUUAAAAUAAGAGUUUUUUCUCU
rnacentral:rRNA from 1 species